rnacentral:misc_RNA from 1 species
GAUGAAGAACGUAGCGAAAUGCGAUAAGUAAUGUGAAUUGCAGAAUUCAGUGAAUCAUCGAAUCUUUGAACGCACAUUGCGCCCGGUAGUAAUCUGCCGGGCAUGCCUGUCCGAGCGUCAUUUCAACCCUCGAACCACUAUUCGCGUAGCUGGAUCGGUGUUGGGGCACUACGGUGGAAUACCCGUAGGCCCCGAAAUGAAGUGGCGGUCCCGCCGCGGCGCCCCCAUGCGUAUUAACAUCUCGUCUCGCAUCGGGUCCCGGCGGAGGCCUGCCGUCAAGCCUAUUUUCUAAUUACAGAUGGUUUGACCUCGGAUCAGGUAGGGUUACCCGCUGAACUUAAGCAUAUCAUAAGCGGAGGA